rnacentral:rRNA from 1 species
AACGAACGCUGGCGGCGCGCCUAACACAUGCAAGUCGAACGAGAAGGCGUAGCAAUACGCUUGUAGAGUGGCGAACGGGUGAGUAAUACGUGGGUGACCUACCCUCGAGUGGGGAAUAACCCGCCGAAAGGCGGGCUAAUGCCGCGUACGCUUCCGUCCUCACGGGGACGGAAGGAAAGCUGUACCGUGGGUACGGCGCUCAAGGAUGGGCUCACGUCCUAUCAGCUUGUUGGUAGGGUAACGGCCACCAAGGCUACGACGGGUAGCUGGUCUGAGAGGACGAUCAGCCACACUGGCACUGCGACACGGGCCAGACUCCUACGGGAGGCAGCAGUGAGGAAUAUUGCGCAAUGGGCGAAAGCCUGACGCAGCGACGCCGCGUGGGGGAUGAAGGUC